ACGGGUGAGUAACACGUGGGUAACCUGCCCUUAAGACGAGGAUAACCAUUGGAAACGAUGGCUAAGACUGGAUAGGAAUAUUUGAGGCAUCUUAAAUAUUUUAAAAGACCUAGCAAUAGGUAUGCUUAAGGAGGGGCCUGCGGCGCAUUAGUUAGUUGGUGAGGUGAGAGCUCACCAAGACGAUGAUGCGUAGCCGGACUGAGAGGUUGAACGGCCACAUUGGGACUGAGAGACGGCCCAAACUCCUACGGGAGGCAGCAGUAGGGAAUUUUCGGCAAUGGAGGAAACUCUGACCGAGCAACGCCGCGUGAAUGACGAAGUACUUCGGUAUGUAAAGUUCUUUUAUCAAGGAAGAAUGACUCGUGGAAAAACGAGAGUGACGGUACUUGAUGAAUAAGCCCCGGCUAACUAUGUGCCAGCAGCCGCGGUAAUACAUAGGGGGCAAGCGUUAUCCGGAAUUAUUGGGCGUAAAGGGUGCGUAGGCGGUCAUUUAAGUCUUUGGUGUAAGUGCAAGGCUCAACCUUGUGAUGCUAAGGAAACUGGAUGACUUGAGUGUGAUAGAGGUAAGUGGAAUUCCAUGUGUAGCGGUAAAAUGCGUAAAUAUAUGGAGGAACACCAGUGGCGAAGGCGGCUUACUGGGUCACAACUGACGCUGAGGCACGAAAGCGUGGGGAGCAAACAGGAUUAGAUACCCUGGUAGUCCACGCCGUAAACGAUGAGUACUAAGUGUUGGAGAAAUUCAGUGCUGUAGUUAACGCAAUAAGUACUCCGCCUGAGUAGUACGUACGCAAGUAUGAAACUCAAAGGAAUUGACGGGACCCCGCACAAGCGGUGGAUCAUGUUGUUUAAUUCGAUGAUACGCGAAAAACCUUACCAGGUCUUGACAUCCCAUGCAAAGCUUAAGAGAUUAAGUGGAGGUUACCAUGGAGACAGGUGGUGCAUGGUUGUCGUCAGCUCGUGUCGUGAGAUGUUGGGUUAAGUCCCGCAACGAGCGCAACCCUUAUUGCUAGUUACCAUCAUUAAGUUGGGGACUCUAGCGAGACUGCCAGUGAUAAACUGGAGGAAGGUGGGGAUGACGUCAAAUCAUCAUGCCCCUUAUGACCUGGGCUACAAACGUGAUACAAUGGCUGAAACAAAGGGCAGCGAAGCAGUGAUGUGAAGCGAAACCCAAAAAAGCAGUCUCAGUUCGGAUUGAAGUCUGCAACUCGA
rnacentral:rRNA from 1 species